rnacentral:rRNA from 1 species
CUUGUAGGCGGUCUUAAAAGUUAGGUGUGAAAUUAGCAGGCUCAACCUGCUAAGGUCAUCUGAAACUUUAAGACUUGAGGAUAGAAGAGGAAAGUGGAAUUCCCGGUGUAGUGGUGAAAUGUGUAGAUAUCGGGAGGAACACCAGUGGCGAAGGCGGUUUUCUGGUCUAUCUCUGACGUUGAGGAGCGAAAGCUAGGGGAGGCAAACG